UUUCCUGUUGGACUACCACAUUUUCUCCUAAUAACAGAGUUUAGUGGCUAUGCCUAUGCAAUAGAUUGAAAUUGCCAUGAUCUGAAGAGGGAGGGCUGAUGUGUGGUCUCCUCCUAUAUGAAAUGCUGAACAGAAACAU